rnacentral:rRNA from 1 species
UACGAGUGCUUCGAGCGUUAUCCGGAAUCAUUGGGCGUAAAGGGUGUGUAGGCGGCUGUGUUAGUCUCGCGUAAAAUUCUUCGGCUCAACCGGGGGCUCGCGCGGGAAACGGCACGGCUAAGAGGUCGGAAGAGGUCACUGGAACUCAUGGUGUAGCGGUGAAAUGCGUUGAUAUCAGGAGGAACACCGGUGGCGAAGGCGAACAUCUGGCCCAAUACUGACGCUGAGGCGCGAAAGCUAGGGGAGCAAACGGG